GCACAGGGGCACCCAUUGAACCAGGGCAGGGCCUGUUAGCUUAUGACCAGCAGGUGACCUGAUUUCCUUGUCCACUGGCACAGAGCACACCCUGCCACAGUGCAAGCCUGAGAAGCAGUGAGGACCCCAUGAAGCUGAAGGACAGGCCGAUCCCCCGAUAGACGAUUAUGUACGAUGUGAGCGGGCAAGGAAACACAAGCUGGCUUACAGGUGGAAUACCUGAGAGUCUCCAGAGAGGACCCAUGACAGACAGCUGAGACAUGGAUGGACACGAGCCCCAGAGAGACUUCAGGUAAUUCUUCUCUUCAAGUAAUGCCUCCCCAACUAGUACAUUCUAUAAGGAUGAGGAUCAUAUCCCUUCAUGCUCACCACUCUAUCCCCAAAGCCCAACACUCUACUGCUUGACUGAGAGCAGGUAUUGCAGAAAGAACAAAGAGAGAGGAAGUUGGGCACUCCAUAAGUCCAUUAGCCUUCAUCAGAGGUGAACCUCCCAACUCAAUGUUUGACAUGUGAAAAAAAAAGCAGAUCUGGCUGGAGCAGAUUCAGAAAACCUCUUAUCUCCCCCAGGCGGAUGAUGUGCCCACCGACCACAUCAGCCACGAAACCCAGCUCAUGGCACCUGGAGCUGAUGAAUGGCCCUGGUGCUGACUGCCCAGAAACCAAUCCGGAAACCAGGCUUCCCACAGAAGAGGCAGCUGGAGAGCCAAGCACUCUUGGACUACAGUCCUAGGCUGGAGCUGCCAAUACAGGCUCUGCCCAGCUAAUCUUCUCUGAGCCUGCAAAUAUUAAACCUGACAUACAGACUCAAGUGAAUCCAGAAAACAGGCUCACAGGGCAGCUGAAAAUUCCAAGUGCCUAAGUGAGAUCCAGUGCGACAGUGGAGCAUGUGUGCGCAGAGGAGACAGGAACAACAACCGGGAUGUCAUGCGGGCGCACUGGGGCUCCUUGUGGCCCCAGUGCACAGAAUUCUGGUGGACCCACCAUGUGUGGGAGCUCAGUGAGACUCAAAGUAAGUGCAAGGCCCUCCUCACACAUCGUACGCUGAAGGUGGAGCACACUGGGAAAAUGUGCAUGCAUCAAGAAGAAAAAUGAAAACUGAUUUUGUGCAACAUUUCCACUGUUCUUGGAAGAAUGAAAUAAAUGCAUAUGAGCUAUGAA
rnacentral:lncRNA from 1 species